GGUAUAGAUUCCCUCCGUGCCGAAGCUUAACGCGUUAAGCAUCCCGCCUGGGGACUACGUCCGCAAGGCUAAAACUCUAACGAAUUGACGGGUCCCCGCACAAGCAGCGGAGCGUGUGGUUUAAUUCGAUGCUACACGAAGAACCUUACCUGGGUUUGACAUGCAAGUAGUAGUGAAGCGAAAGCGGAACGACCCUUCGGUGAGCUUGCACAGGUGCUGCAUGGCUGUCGUCAGCUCGUUCCGUGAGUUGUCGGGUUAAGUCCCGUAACGAGCGCAACCCUUGCCCUUAGUUAUACGUGUCUAAGGGGACUGCCCGGGACAACUGGGGGGAAGCUGGGGAUGACGUCAAGUCAGCAUGGCCUUUAUAUCCAGGGCGACACACACGCUACAAUGGCCGGUACAAUGGGUUGCCAAGCCGUGAGNCGGAGCCAAUCCCCGCAAGCCCGGUCUAAGUUCGGAUUGUGGGCUGCAACUCGCCCACAUGAAGCUGGAGUUGCUAGUACUCGCGCGUCAGCCAUAGUGCGGUGAUACGUUCCCGGGGAUGUACACACCGCCCGUCACGUCAUG
rnacentral:rRNA from 1 species